rnacentral:rRNA from 1 species
AAGUUCAGAUGUGAAAGACCCGGGGCGUCAACCUCGGAAUUGCAUUUGAAACUGGCAAACUAGAGUACUGUAGAGGGGGGUAGGAAUUUCUAGGUGUAGCGGUGAAAUAGCGUAGAGAUCUGAAGGAAUACCGGUGGCGAAGGCGGCCCCCUCGGACAGAUACUGACACUCAGAUGCGAAAGCGUGGGGAGCAAACAGGAUUAGAUACCCUGGUAG